GGUUAACCGUGGUAAUUCUUCAGCUAAUACAUGCGGAAAGACCCUACUUUAUGGAAAGGUCGUAUUUAUUAGAUAAAGAACCAAUAUUUUUUUUUGGUGACUCAUAAUAACUUUACGGAUCACAAUAAUUAAUUUUGUGACAUAUCAUUCAAGUUUCUGACCUAUCAGCUUUAGACGGUAGGGUAUUGGCCUACCGUGGCUAUGACGGGUAACGGGGAAUUAGGGUUCGAUUCCGGAGAGGGAGCCUGAGAAACGGCUACCACAUCUAAGGAAGGCAGCAGGCGCGCAAAUUACCCAAUCCUAAUACAGGGAGGUAGUGACAAGAAAUAACAAUACAGGACUUUACGGUUUUGUAAUUGGAAUGAGUUAAGUAUAAACCCCUUUACAAGUAUCAAUUGGAGGGCAAGUCUGGUGCCAGCAGCCGCGGUAAUUCCAGCUCCAAUAGCGUAUAUUAAAGUUGUUGCAGUUAAAAAGCUCGUAGUUGGAUUUCUGUUAAUACCUUAUAUAUAAUAUUUUUUUUUAAAUAUUAUUAUAUAAGAUUAACAUAAUUCAUAUUUUUUAAGACUGAAUUUUUAGUUUUGAUAAUAUGAAAUUUUACUUUGAGAAAAUUAGAGUGCUUAAAGCAGGCUUUUGCCUUGAAUACUCCAGCAUGGAAUAAUAAUAAAAGAUUUUAAUC
rnacentral:rRNA from 1 species